GGGGGGGGGGCUAUACAUGCAGUCGAGCGAACUGAUUAGAAGCUUGCUUCUAUGACGUUAGCGGCGGACGGGUGAGUAACACGUGGGCAACCUGCCUGUAAGACUGGGAUAACUUCGGGAAACCGAAGCUAAUACCGGAUAGGAUCUUCUCCUUCAUGGGAGAUGAUUGAAAGAUGGUUUCGGCUAUCACUUACAGAUGGGCCCGCGGUGCAUUAGCUAGUUGGUGAGGUAACGGCUCACCAAGGCAACGAUGCAUAGCCGACCUGAGAGGGUGAUCGGCCACACUGGGACUGAGACACGGCCCAGACUCCUACGGGAGGCAGCAGUAGGGAAUCUUCCGCAAUGGACGAAAGUCUGACGGAGCAACGCCGCGUGAGUGAUGAAGGCUUUCGGGUCGUAAAACUCUGUUGUUAGGGAAGAACAAGUACGAGAGUAACUGCUCGUACCUUGACGGUACCUAACCAGAAAGCCACGGCUAACUACGUGCCAGCAGCCGCGGUAAUACGUAGGUGGCAAGCGUUAUCCGGAAUUAUUGGGCGUAAAGCGCGCGCAGGCGGUUUCUUAAGUCUGAUGUGAAAGCCCACGGCUCAACCGUGGAGGGUCAUUGGAAACUGGGGAACUUGAGUGCAGAAGAGAAAAGCGGAAUUCCACGUGUAGCGGUGAAAUGCGUAGAGAUGUGGAGGAACACCAGUGGCGAAGGCGGCUUUUUGGUCUGUAACUGACGCUGAGGCGCGAAAGCGUGGGGAGCAAACAGGAUUAG
rnacentral:rRNA from 2 species